CGUUAUCCUGCUUAUUACAUGGCUACUCACCAAAUAUAGUUGGGUAGAAAAUAUUUUAUGUUAGAAGAAACGUAGCUAUGUAGAAGCCAGUUGUUAAUUAUAAGUUCAGCACUCAUUAUGCCAAAAAUAUCAAACUGCAGAAUGGUGUAAAUGAGCAGUAAGAAUUAAAUAUUCCAAAGAAUCAUCCAGAAUCACUGAUUUAAUAUGGCAUUGCCAUUGUUCUGUAUAGGUUUUUUUUUUUUUGAAGUGUUUUC